GAACGCUGGCGGCAGGCCUAACACAUGCAAGUCGAGCGGCCGUAGCAAUACGGCAGCGGCAGACGGGAGAGUAACACGUGGGAACGUGCCUAUCAGUUCGGAACAACCCAGGGAAACUUGGGCUAAUACCGGAUACGCCCUUACGGGGAAAGAUUUAUCGCUGAUAGAGCGGCCCGCGUCUGAUUAGCUAGUUGGUGAGGUAACGGCUCACCAAGGCGACGAUCAGUAGCUGGUCUGAGAGGAUGAUCAGCCUCAUUGGGACUGAGACACGGCCCAAACUCCUACGGGAGGCAGCAGUGGGGAAUAUUGGACAAUGGGCGCAAGCCUGAUCCAGCCAUGCCGCGUGGGUGAUGAAGGCCCUAGGGUUGUAAAGCCCUUUCGGCGGGGAAGAUAAUGACGGUACCCGCAGAAGAAGCCCCGGCUAACUUCGUGCCAGCAGCCGCGGUAAUACGUAGGGUGCAAGCGUUAAUCGGAAUUACUGGGCGUAAAGCGUGCGCAGGCGGUUGUGUAAGUCUGUCGUGAAAUCCCCGGGCUCAACCUGGGAAUUGCGAUGGAGACUGCACGGCUAGAAUCUGGCAGAGGGGGGUAGAAUUCCACGUGUAGCAGUGAAAUGCGUAGAGAUGUGGAGGAACACCGAUGGCGAAGGCAGCCCCCUGGGUCAAGAUUGACGCUCAUGC
rnacentral:rRNA from 1 species